rnacentral:sRNA from 1 species
ACUUGUUUACAGUUACGCCCCAUUUUUGGGACCUCAAAAACCGAAACAACAACAA